CCCUCCCUGGGAGGUUUCUGGGGUCUCUCCAAGGUGUUUUCAAAUGAAAACAUUCAGCUCAGAGUCUAAGAAAAUCACCAGAGGACAGGGCCAGCCUGACCUGGCUGUUUUUGUCUGAGCAAUCCUUGGAUAUAUAGAAUUUGGGAGAUAAAAUUCUAAUUUUGGCCAUGGCAUCUGGGCAUGAAAGGUGGUUCUUUUCCACAGGAAUUAAGGAACAGAGCCACAGUGUUUCAGGGGCAGAUGAGAGGUGACCACCAGAGGCCAAGGCUAGCCAGAGCAGGGAAAGCACGGAGCCCCAGUGUUUCAGGAGCUGAUGAGAAGCAGCCCUUGACAUGCCAAGGAAGGAAAGCACAGAGCUCAAGUGUUUCAAAUGGAGAUGAGGAGAGAGAUGGCUCCUGGGAGGCUCAGCCAGCCAUAUCUGUUUCUCCUGGCAGCUUUCAUCAUGGAGGAGUCCUUGGAUAUAUGGAAUUUGGGAGGAAGAAUUUCUAAUUUGACAAUGGACACCUUGAGAAGAAGGAUGGUUCUUUUCCAUUGGAAGGAAAGCACUGAGCCCCAGUGUUUGGAAAGCAGUCCCCAAGAGGCCAAGGGCAGCCAGACCUGUCAGUCCUGGCAACUUUCACUUGGGAGCAAUCCUUGGAUGUACAGAAUUUUGGAAGUGGAAUCCCAGUUUUGGCCAUGGGCACCUGGUCAAGAUGGAUGAUUUGCUCCUACAGGAAAGAGAAGUGCCAAGUCCAAGUGUUCUGGAAGAUGAUGAGAGGUAGCCACCCUUAGGCCAAGACAGCCAGACCUGUCUCUCCUGGCAGCUUUUGUCUAGGGGCUAUCCUUGGACAUAGAGCAUUUUGGAGGUGCAAUCUCAAUUUUGGCUGUGGAUACGUGGACAGGAAUAGUUCUUUCUAUGAAGAAAGAAAGCGCAGAGCCUCAGUGUUUCAGAGGCAGAUGAGUGCCAGCCCUCAGGAAGCCAAGGCCAGCCAGACUUGUCACUCCUGGCAGCUUUUGUCUCAGAGUUAUCCUUGGAUAUAGGGAAUGCUGGAGACAGAUGCCCAAUUUUGGCCAUGUGUACUUGGUCGGGAUGGAUGUUUUUUUCCCAUAAGAAAGAAAAGCACAUGGUCCCAGUGUUUCAAAGACAGAUGAGAGAUGGCCCCUGGAUGGCCAAGGCAACCAGAUCUGUCACUCCUGGCAGAUUUCAUCUGGAAACAACCUUUGCAUAUAAGGAAAUGUGGAGAAGGAAUCCAAAUUUUGGCCAUGGGGCCUUGGAGGAGAAGGACACUUCUCUCUCAUAAGAAGGAAAGCCCAGAGCCCCAGUGCUCCAGGGACAGAUGAGAAGCAGCCCUCGACAUGCCAAAGUCAGCUGGACUUGUCAGGUGGUCCCCAGGAGGCCCAGCCAGCCAGACCUGUUCCCUGUUCCCUUGGUUUUGUGGGACCCCAGAGUGUCACAAUGGUUUCCUUGGUUUCAUGAGGCCCUGGAGUGUCAGAAUGUUCCCCCUGCUUCUGCAGUGUCACAAUGGCCCCGUGCUUCCAUGAGACCUUGCAACGUCACAAUGGCUCAUGCUCCCACAAAGCCCUGAUGUGUCACCAUGGCCCCUCGGCUCCAUGCCCCCUCGCUGUGUCACAAUGGCUUCUCUGUGACACUACAGGAUCCACAAGGUCACCAUGGACCCUUGGUUCCUUGGGGCCCCGAGUUUCACAAUGAUCUCCUUGAUUGCAUGAGGCACCAGAGUGUCACAGUGGCCCCUUGGUUCCAUGAGGUUCCGUAGUGUCACCGUGGUGUCCUUGGACCCGCGUUGUCACAACUGACCCCUGGCUCCAUGAGGUUCCGUAUGGUCACUGUGGUCGCUGUCAGAGGCAGGAUGAGAUCAAUGUCCCGAGACACCUUGGGAUGCUUGGAAUGCCCAUGUGGGGCCAGGGCCGGGUUAGGCCUUGGUUUGUAGUGGGACUUCUUGGGUGGGAGGGGUGAGAACCUUGUAGAGAGCCGGGGAGAUAGGGACCCCGAUCUGGGACAACUGUGGAAGCUCCCUUCAAGAUUUCACCUUUUGGGAACACGGGAGAGGGAAGAGGGGUAGGACGGGGAGAACCACAUGAACUGGGGAUUAAAGUGUUAACUGCCGGUUGCUUUCUCCAUUCCCACCUUGAAUUUAAAAUGGCUCUUACUUGGUGAAACCAGAAAAUGAUCUUAGAAAGGGAGGAGUUCCCCGACCGUCCUAAUUCUGCCAACUUUGCAAUGACUACAUCCCAAAAAUCGACCCCAUACAAUUGGCCAGUGGUAACCUCCAGGAAAUGAGAAAACAACCAAACAAUUAACUUUCUUAAUUCUCACUUUUUAACAUUAACAUCCCCACCCACAAGGAUUCCCUCAACUUGGAUAAACACUGUUUUCUGGAUCCCAGAAAGCCUCGCACCCAUGGCUUAUGAUGUUAAGAGAGAGAACCAAUACUCACCACCCGUAAGAAAAUAUAAAAGGAAAAGGCAGAAAAACCCACACCGGCCCCUGUCAAAAAAGACGGUGGCUGCACAGCAGAGAAAAAGAGGCAAAGGUGCUAAGUUAAAAAGACCUGGCUCAAAGUAAAUGAAAGGAACUCAGGAUGCCCCGACCCUUCAACAAUAGAAAGGAUCUGGGGUAGAGAGAGAGGGGAACAAGAAGGAGGUGAGAAGGGGAGAGGACACCACUUACAGUCAGGCGCAGAAUUCGACACCACUUCAACUCGGGCCCCCUCUCAGGAAAAAUCCAGUGUUAGGUGAACAAAAGACCAAAGGGGGUGGUUCCUGUCAGGGGAAGACUCCUCGGGUGCAGGAGCUGCCUCCUCGAGCCUCCAGGAGUGCCACCCACCAGAGAUGGGUCUUCUCCUACUGGAGGAAGCUUCACGGCCAGGUGGUUUCAAGAGGUCACUCCCACAGCAGGUCCAGAUGGAGAUCUGCAAGAGCCCAGAGUCCACUUUCCACAGGGUCCGGUGAUGACCUCAGCCCUCGCACUGGGUGCCAAACAUGUGGCCACAUGCAUCCAAAAGCCCACCUUGAGGGCUGCCCCAGGCUAGCUUUUUAGCAUGUGAGUGACAGCGAGGUGUGGGGGGCACUCUCCUCACUUGCGCUUGCAAGGAGAGAGCCUUAGGCACGAAUGCCUUGACGGACUCUGGGCCAAUGCCAACAGGAGUGAAGAAAGCGGGUUCCGACUUCUGGUGAAACAGGGUUAUUGGGAGGAGCAGUGAGAUGAAAAGUCCAGGUGCGUCCAGAAGCUGAAGACAGUGGGAAAAGGGCUUACAGCAACUUAUAAAGGGAGGUGGCAACAGGGGUGGAGCCUGCCCUCCAACCAAUAGAGGAGCAGGAGGGAGUGGAAAAGGAAAGAAGGACACUGCUAUGGGACCAAUGGGGAGUGACUAGGGGAAGGGCCCCAGCCGCUGAACCAAUCACUUGGUGCCCAGAAGAGAAGCUUCUAGAUAGAGAGGAUGGGUUGCUGAGUGACAGACAAAGCACCAGGGUGCGACAAAACAAAGGAUAUAAUGUUAACUGGGGUAACAGGGGAGGGGACAGGGAGACUGACAAGGAUUGCAGGGGAGGAGACAACCUGGGUAGAACCAUUACACAACCACAGGGGCGAAUGGAACAAACCAACUUACAAUAUACAACUUAGCUUAAGAAUCUGAAAAACACAACACAACAGUAAACAAUCUCCAUAUUGCAUUCUACUUUAGCACAACACAGGCACAGCAAGAGAGGUAAUAAUUAUGUUUUCCUUCUUCUCUGCUUGUCUCACAGCUUCAAACAUUCACAUGUUCAGAAGGCAUGUGAAUACCACACUCAGGGAGAGAGAGAGAGAGAGAGUCCCUUUCCUGCCCCUGGCAAUGACCUGAGGUGGAAGUGAAUGUGAUGACAGGGCCAUGGCCAGACCCUCAUGUUCUUCAAUCUCACACCACGUCAUUGGCAGGGGCAGGAAAAUUAACAGAUGUCUUCCCACCAUGGGUCACAGGGCUCUUUCCAAUAUGGGUCCUCCAAUGGGGGAAGAAGCUGGAGCAGUUCAUCAAUCUCUUCCUGCAGUUGGGGCACUGGCAGGACAUUCCUUACUGGUGACUCCUGGCUGGUCAAGUCAGAGCUCUGGGUGAAGCUCUUCCCAUAUGUGGGGUACUCGUGGAGCCUCUCCCCAGUGUGGAUGCGCCGGUGCCUGACGAGGGUGAAUUUCUGCUUGAAGCUCUUCCCACAGUCGGGGCAGCGGAAGGGCCUCUCAUCUGUGUGAAUCCGUACAUGCAGGCGGAGAUUGGAGCUGGUCUGAAACCUCUUCCCACACUGGGGGCACUCACAGGGCCUCUCCCCGGAGUGGAUGAGCCUGAUGAGGUGGGAGUAGCGCUUGAAGCCCUUCCCACAAUCUGGGCAGCAGAAGGGCCUCUCAUCGGUGUGAAUCCGCUGGUGCAGGAGGAAAUCUGAGCUGAUCCGAAACCUCUUCUGGCAUUGAGGGCACUCAUAGGGCCUCUCCCCGGUGUGGAUGAGUUGGUGGGUCACAAGGGUGGAUCUGUAGCUGAACCCCUUCCCACACUCCCCACACUUGUAGGGCCAUUCCCCAGUGUGGAUCCUCUGGUGGCUAAUCAGGGUGCUGCUCUGCCUGAAGCUCUUCCCACACUCCAAGCACUUGUGGGGCUUAGCCCCAUCAGGAAGCUGCUCCUGGACCACCAGCUCCAAGCUCUGGCUGAAGCUCUGUCCACCUUCCUGGCUCAAGAGCUGUUUAAACCUGCUCUGAACAUCCAGAAGAGCACUGGCAGCUCCACCUGUGGCCCAUUGGUCCGAGCCUGGUCCACGGCAUUUCCAGUGCUGGAGAGAGAAGAGACUGAUAAGAGACUGAGUGAGCAGAGCUACAGCCCACAGAGGGAUUUUCUGAGUUUGUCAUCUCUUUUGCAGUGGCAAGAGGUUUUAUUGUUUAAUAUUGGUCAUUUGCUGUGCUCGUGAAUGCUUUGUCUGUUAAAUAAACAGGGUUUUUCCACUUUUCUCCAAGGAAAUCUUUUCCCAAACUGAUUGGGGAAGAGGCUGCUUGAAUUUGCUUUCCAGAGGAAACCCCUUUUGGAGGUUUUCUCCCAAAUUUGCCCUAAACCAGGACAGGGCGGUGGGGAGAGGAGAGAGCCCCAAGUGCCUGGACUGGGGGGAGGCUGGAGAGAGGGACCCUGGGACCCCAAAACCCCGCAGCAUCCCUAAGCAGGACCCUGGAGAGGGGGGAUCCCCAGGUGCUCUGGGAUCCUUGGCAGCCAUGAGAGAGGGGACCACCAGAAGCCCAGAGGGAUGAGAAUGGAAAUGGGACACUCCUGGUGGCUUUUUUUGAUUCUCUUUUGCUUUUUGAAGGUUUUUAUUGAUAUCAGGUGACUUCUAGAGAUGGACUUGGGCAGAGGCCUUUCAGACACACUGUGCUCAUCCCUUGUUUUUCCCCAAAGCAGGUUUUCCCAUUCCCAAAUAUUGGCCCAAUGGAGGAGAAGGCUGCAAGGAAGAGAAAGAUGCCCCAAGACACUCAGGCAGGUGAGGAGGAAGUCAGUGCCCCCUUCCCCCUCUCUCCUGCUCCAUCUCCCAGCCCAGCACGGCCCUGGCUGCAGGACAACCCCGCU